UUCCGGUUGAUCCCGCCGGAGGCUACCGCUAUUGGAGUUCGAUUAAGCCAUGCGAGUCGCGAGAAAUUAGAUUCUCGGCGUACCGCUCAGUAACACGUGGGUAACCUGCCCUAUGCUGGAUAAUAACCUCGGGAAACUGAGAAUAAUGAUCCAUAGUUCACUACGCCUGGAACGGUGAGUGGAUGAAAGCUCCGGCGGCAUAGGAUGGGCCUGCGGCGUAUCAGGUUGUAGGGGGUGUAACGUACCCUCUAGCCCUCUACGCGUACGGGUGUUGGGAGACAUAGCCCGGAGAUGGAUUCUGAGACACGAAUCCAGACCCUACGGGGUGCAGCAGGCGCGAAAACUUGGCAAUGCGAGAAAUCGUGACCAGGGAACUCCAAGUGCAUGGGGUAAGACCCAUGCUUUUCUUGACUCUAAAUAGGUCUUGGAAUAAGGGGUGGGUAAGGACGGUGCCAGCCGCCGCGGUAAUACCGGCGCCUCAAGUGGUAGUCGCUUUUAUUGGGCCUAAAACGUCCGUAGCCGGUCUGAUACAUUCGUGGGUAAAUCAACCAGCUUAACUGGUUGAAUUCUGCGAGGACGGUCAGACUUGGGACCGGGAGAGGUGUGGGGUACGCUCAGGGUAGGGGUAAAAUCCUGUCAUCCUGAGCGGACCACCUGUUGCGAAGGCGCCACACUAGAACGGAUCCGACGGUCAGGGACGAAGCCUAGGGGCACGAACCGGAUUAGAUACCCGGGUAGUCCUAGGUGUAAACGCUGUGGACUUGAUGUUGGGGGUGCUCCGAGCACUCUCAGUGUCGAAGCGAAGGUGAUAAGUCCACUGCCUGGGAAGUACGGUCGCAAGGCUGAAACUUAAAGGAAUUGGCGGGGGAGCACCGCAACCUGAGGAUUGUGCGGUUUAAUUGGAGUCAACGCCGGA
rnacentral:rRNA from 1 species